CUCCUGGCACCUCUAUACCCCUAGUGUUUCUCCUACGUAUUCUUAUUUCCUUGGCUGAAUGACUGGGGGAGUAUGGGAAGUGGGAUGGAUACUUUGCUUUGACUGGGGUGUCUUUGCUUCCUCCUGGUAGCCAGGUGUUGAAUUCCCAACAGUAAUAAAUACAUUUGAAUUUGUGGACUCUCUAUGCCAGGAAAGACAAUAAUUUAUCAGGUAAGCAUACAUUUUGUUUAUACAUUUCCCUCCCAGCCAGCUCUGAGUUAUAAUCCGUUGUUUCUGCCUCUCUUUUACAGAAUGGACAUGGGCAGUUAAUCUAUUACUCUCGUCCAGACGUCCAAGGCCCGAAACUGUCAGACUAUUCGAUUUCUAGCACAACAGACCCUGUGGGACUGGCACAGGUCCUGGCUCAAGCACUUAGUGUUCGCGGUAUAGUAGUGAAGAAACGUCUUCUAUUUCUUGUGGGGCAAACACGGAUUCAUUUGGACAGAGUGGAUGAUUUGGGUGAUUUUUUGGAGCUAGAGGUGGUUCUGACAGACACUCAGACUCAGCAAGAUGGAGAUGCCAUCGCUCAGCAUCUGAUGGGAUUACUGGGGAUUCAGCAGGACAAUCUUGUCACCGGAGCCUAUAUAGAUCUGCUGCACAGUGCAGACAAGGAUGAAUGAUCUGUAACCCUGACCAACUUUAAUGACACAAAGGAAAAAAUAAUUGUGUUUUCUGACCUAGCAGCAGAGUAUAUCUGGUGGCUGUUUACAACAAAAUGCAGUUGAUCUCUAAACACAGUCAGAUUGCCCCGAAAUUUAGAUAGUGGACUUCCCAUGCCACUGAUUCUAAAUGGACGUUAAACUGAGCCAGCGGAACACCCCUUGCCCACUCCCAACACUUAGCCAUUAAAUGCCCCCCAAAACAACCAGUAGAACACCCUCCCAACACUUGGCACGUUCGUACCUAAUCCCAAACAGUUCAUCAAAAACUUUUUUUUAUUAUUAUAUUCUUUAUUGAAGAAGCAAAUACCAAUAAAGCUAUUCUCAUCUUG